rnacentral:lncRNA from 1 species
CCCUCCAUUUCAGUCUCUCACCAAACCCUAGGAGCCCUAAAAUUCUCCGCCGCUAACCACCACCGGAAAUCGCCUCAUGGAGGUUUCGGUGCUCCAAACACCCUCAAAUUAACAUUCUACAAUCUUCUUUCCCUACACUUUCCGAUUCCACAAACCUUUUCUCCAAAAUCCCCAUCCAAAUCCUCAAAUCUUAGAUCUAAAAAUCAGAUUCUAAACCUUAGUUCAUCCAAAUCAACCCAAAUUCACCAUACACACUCCCCAGCCUCCCCUCUAUACCAAUCUACUAAUCAUUCCCCUAAAAGACCCACCCAAUUCCGUUAAUUCAAGUUCUGAAAAUCGGGACCCUAGCCUACCCACUUUGCCGAUUUUUCUUCUGGUUCCUCGAGUUUCAAGGUACGAGUUGAGCCCAAAAUUUACAUUAACUAAUCAUUCUCAGCAAGAACAAUUUCUUAAUGUAAUUUUGGACCCACCUCGAAGCACGAAUCAGAGUCUAGCCAACAUGGCCAGUUCUUUCCUAACUGAAUUUCAAUAGGUAUUGCUUUCCCCUUGUUUUCUUGUCCUAUUUGUUUUUUAUAUUUUGGUCCGCUGGUUGAAUACAAAAGAAAAUAAAAAAUGUGUUGAUUAGGUUUUGUUUAGGCAUCUCUGUUUUUCUUUUUAUUUUUUGGUUAAUUAAUCAGUAACAUGAAUUGCAUUUUAGGAUCCUUAAAUUUUUUUCCUUUUCUUGCUUUUAUUUUCUUGUUCUUUUUCUUUUUUGUUUUUGUGUCUAAUUGCAUGCUCCGGGUUAUUUGGAUUAUUGUUGACAGUUUGAUUCGAAUGCUUCAUACUAGUUCAUAUAACAUUUUGUUGCGGUUUGAUUAGAAUUAGUUUUUUGGUUGUUUAAAGCAGAAAUUCAUCAUAAAAUAGCUUAUUUUAGGUUUUUAAGUGUCUAGAAAUUUAAAGUUUAAUCAUUGUCAUGUUUUGGUGUUUGAUUUACAUUAGCAUCCCCAUUUGUGUUUACCCUAAUUUGCAAAUCAGUAGCAACUUAUAGGGACCUAAUUGAACUAUAAGAAACUUAGGACAAUUUUCAGAAAAUAUCUAGGAAGAGAAAGUUUCUAGAAAUGGUACAGUUGUCCUAGCUAUUACAAAAGAUGCUGAUAUAGGAUAAAGAGGAUAGUUGUAUUGUACUAUUUUCAGACUUUAGGAUAAGGAAUAUUUCCAAAAUAUAUCCUCCCUAGGCAGCCUAUAUAUAUAGGCUAUUUCAUUCUGAAAAGGACACAGAAUCAGAUUUUUAGAACCCUAAAAAGCAUUUCAAAAGUUUCAGCUAUUGUUUCAUUGAGAAGGGAUUUUAUUUCUUUUUUUGAGUUCCACCUAAAUCAGAAUAAAUUUUCUUUCAAAGAUUCUAGGCUUUUGGGUUGCAAGAGGGUUUGAAUUUGAAGCUGUGAUACUGCUGGUUAUUGGCUACUGUUCCAUUGACUGCUUGUCAGGGUUUUCUUUGCUAUUUUCUCUGAAGAUUCACAACUUUGUUUCUAUUCUUUGUAACCAGGUAUACUUUGAGCCUUGAAUCAUGAAUGAAAGAUUGUUUUGAAGAGUGUACUGCUGCCAUAGAGUUUCAGAGUUCAUGUUUACAUUUUGUUUCUGUUUGAUGUUUUCUUUUAAGUCAUUCGAUUACUUUUUUUUUGCCUCCUUCUUAUUAGCUUCUGUUAGCUACAUUAAAGUUUUGUUGUGUGGUUUCAUGAAAUAGCUAGGAUGUUUAGUAUUGAAGUUUUGAAUAGCACAUCUUACAUAUGCUAAGUUUUAGGCUAAGUAGUCUAGUUUAAAAGAAAAUGUUAACUUUCAGUCUUUUCUACUGCUCAUGCGAUUCUGUCCAGUGUUUUAAAUUUACUGUUUGGUAAUAUAUGAGCUUUCCAUGUUUAAUUGUUUAGAUAAAUACUGGGUAUGGUCAAAAUAGGUCAUGAUUGAUGCUUGAGUACAUUUGGUUGAAGUAUUUUAGCAUUACUACAGUGUGUAAAAUAAUUGUAUGUUCAUGUUGUUUCAUGAAUAACUAUUGUAGUGUUUUAGCAUUUCCACAGUGAUCAAAAGAAUUAUGCAUAUUAAAAAUGCAGUGUUCGGCU